rnacentral:tRNA from 2 species
CAAAUUAGAGCUUGGAAAAGUUUUUCAUUUACAUUGAAAGGAAAUUAAUAAAAUUAAUUAAUUUGA